AUUGAACGCUGGCGGCAUGCCUUACACAUGCAAGUCGAACGGCAGCGGACCUUCGGGUGCCGGCGAGUGGCGAACGGGUGAGUAAUAUAUCGGAACGUACCUUUCAGUGGGGGAUAACGUAGCGAAAGUUACGCUAAUACCGCAUAUUCUGUGAGCAGGAAAGCAGGGGAUCGCAAGACCUUGCGCUGAUUGAGCGGCCGAUAUCAGAUUAGCUAGUUGGUGAGGUAAAGGCUCACCAAGGCGACGAUCUGUAGCGGGUCUGAGAGGGUGAUCCGCCACACUGGAACUGAGACACGGUCCAGACUCCUACGGGAGGCAGCAGUGGGGAAUUUUGGACAAUGGGCGCAAGCCUGAUCCAGCCAUGCCGCGUGAGUGAAGAAGGCCUCGGUUGU
rnacentral:rRNA from 1 species